rnacentral:rRNA from 1 species
UACGUAGGUGGCAAGCGUUUGUCCGGAUUUACUGGGCGUAAAGGAUGCGUAGGUGGAUAUUUAAGUGGGAUGUGAAAUACCCGGGCUUAACCUGGGUGCUGCAUUCCAAACUGGAUAUCUAGAGUGCAGGAGAGGUAAGUGGAAUUCCUAGUGUAGCGGUGAAAUGCGUAGAGAUUAGGAAGAACACCAGUGGCGAAGGCGACUUACUGGAUUGUAACUGACACUGAGGCAUGAAAGCGUGGGGAGCAAACAGGG